UCUUCUGUGAUGAUUUAAGACAGUGACUUUCGUUCUUCUGAGUCUACUGAAGCUAAGAUUUCUGUCCUGAGGAGA